rnacentral:snRNA from 1 species
GUGCUCGCUUUGGCAGCACACUUACUAAAAUUGGAACUGCACAGAGAAGAUUAGCCUGGCUCCUGCAGGAGGAUGACACACAAAUUUAUGGAGUGCUCCACAUUUUC